AUGGCCCAGCAACAGAUGACCACUUGCAGAAGGCCCUGAUGCUCGAACUGAAAUCCCUGCAGGAGAAGCCGGUGAAGGGCUUCCGGAUCACCCUGGUGGAUGAAUCUGACCUCUACAACUGGGAGGUGGCCAUCUUCGGACCCCCCAACACCCUCUGCGAAGGUGGUUACUUCAAGGCGCAUAUUAAAUUUCCUAUUGACUACCCCUAUUCACCACCUACCUUCAGAUUCUUGACCAAAAUGUGGCACCCCAACAUUUAUGAAAAUGGAGAUACAUGCAUUUCGAUUCUUCACCCGCCUAUAGAUGACCCACAGAGUGGAGAGCUGCCUUCUGAAAGGUGGAGCCCCACUCAGAAUGUGAGGAUUAUCCUGUUAAGUGUAAUCUCACUCCUUAAUGAACCCGACACCUUCUUCCCAAUGUGGAUGCUUCAGUUAUGUUCAGGAAAUGGAGAGGCAGUAAAGGAAAAGACAAAGAAUGUGUUGAAAUCAUUAGGAAACAGGUUUCAGCCACUAAGGCCGAAGCAGAAAAGGAUGGAGUGAAGGUCCCCACGACCCUGGAGGAAGACUGCAUCAAAACUAAAGUGCCUUCCAAUGACAACAGCUCAGAUUUGCUUUAUGAUGACUUGUAUGAUGACGACAUUGAUGAUGAACAUGAAGAGGAGGAAGAUGCUGACUGUUAGGAUGAUGAUGAUUCUGAGAACAAGGAGUCGUGA